rnacentral:rRNA from 1 species
AACGAACGCUGGCGGCAUGCCUAACACAUGCAAGUCGAACGAACCCUUCGGGGUUAGUGGCGCACGGGUGCGUAACGCGUGGGAAUCUGCCCUGGGGUGCGGAAUAACUCGGAGAAAUCCGUGCUAAUACCGCAUAAUGUCUUCGGACCAAAGAUUUAUCGCCCUGGGAUGAGCCCGCGUUGGAUUAGCUAGUUGGUAGGGUAAAAGCCUACCAAGGCGACGAUCCAUAGCUGGUCUGAGAGGAUGAUCAGCCACACUGGGACUGAGACACGGCCCAGACUCCUACGGGAGGCAGCAGUGGGGAAUAUUGGACAAUGGGCGAAAGCCUGAUCCAGCAAUGCCGCGUGAGUGAUGAAGGCCCUAGGGUUGUAAAGCUCUUUUACCAGGGAUGAUAAUGACAGUACCUGGAGAAUAAGCUCCGGCUAACUCCGUG